AUUGAACGCUGGCGGCAUGCCUUACACAUGCAAGUCGAACGGCAGCACGGGGGCAACCCUGGUGGCGAGUGGCGAACGGGUGAGUAAUACAUCGGAACGUGCCCAGUAGUGGGGGAUAGCCCGGCGAAAGCCGGAUUAAUACCGCAUACGACCUACGGGUGAAAGCGGGGGAUCGCAAGACCUCGCGCUAUUGGAGCGGCCGAUGUCAGAUUAGGUUGUUGGUGAGGUAAAAGCUCACCAAGCCGACGAUCUGUAGGUGGUCUGAGAGGACGACCAGCCACACUGGGACUGAGACACGGCCCAGACUCCUACGGGAGGCAGCAGUGGGGAAUUUUGGACAAUGGGGGCAACCCUGAUCCAGCCAUGCCGCGUGCGGGAAGAAGGCCUUCGGGUUGUAAACCGCUUUUGUCAGGGAAGAAAUCUCUUGGGCUAAUACCCCAGAAGGAUGACGGUACCUGAAGAAUAAGCACCGGCUAACUACGUGCCAGCCGCCGCUGUAAGAC
rnacentral:rRNA from 1 species